rnacentral:misc_RNA from 1 species
CGCUGCCGUCAACACGUUCACUUCGCGAUUGCUGUAAUCUCCUUCACAGCCUACGUUGUCCAAUUCCUUGCGCCAAUAAUUGUCAGCAUUAUUUGCCCGGACAACACUCCAGAACAGUGGACAAUUCUGUUCCUAUUCAUCACUGGUGUUAUCAUCGUCUGCAACGCUGGCUUUCCGUUCAUCACUAGAUCCGACCCAGCUGCUUAUACGAAACAGAUAAACGUUGAGAAUGUAGAGAAAUAG